rnacentral:rRNA from 1 species
UGGGGAAUUUUGGACAAUGGGCGAAAGCCUGAUCCAGCAAUGCCGCGUGUGUGAAGAAGGCCUUCGGGUUGUAAAGCACUUUUGUCCGGAAAGAAAUCCUUGGCUCUAAUACAGUCGGGGGAUGACGGUACCGGAAGAAUAAGCACCGGCUAACUACGUGCCAGCAGCCGCGGUAAUACGUAGGGUGCAAGCGUUAAUCGGAAUUACUGGGCGUAAAGCGUGCGCAGGCGGUUUGCUAAGACCGAUGUGAAAUCCCCGGGCUCAACCUGGGAACUGCAUUGGUGACUGGCAGGCUAGAGUAUGGCAGAGGGGGGUGAGAAUUCCACGUGUAGCAGUGAAAAUGCGUAGAGAUGUGGAGGAAUACCGAUGGCGAAGGCGAGCCCCGGCAAUAACUGACGCUCAUGCACGAAAAGCGUGGGGGAGCAAAACAGGAUUAGAUACCCUGGUAGUCCACGCCCUAAAACGAUGUCAACUAGUUGUUGGGGAUUCAUUUCCUUAGUAACGUAGCUAACGCGUGAAGUUGACCGCCU